AUUUAUUCAACUUUAAUCAUGAUCCAGUUUAUGUUGAAGAGUUGCAUUCUUCAAACACUGAAUUUCUCCAGUACACCCCACUCCACCACCAAUGCCACCCUGUAGAUGUAGAAGAAAAUUAGACAUCGAGCAGGUGAAUUUAAACAAAUAUUAAAUAGCAAUGUGAUAUUUUCUAAGUUCUAACCACAUGAUGGGCUGUCUUCUCUCGUUCUUUCUCUGCAAAAGUGGUCUCCAAACAGGAGGAGAAGAAGAGAAGUGCGACCAAAAUUACAGCGAAAACCGUGGUCUUCUUCAUGAUAGGAAUUGGGGACGACAAUAUAGAUAGAUAAAAAAUGUCGGGCUCUGUAGAUUGAACUUUAAAUGCGUUGGAGAAGAUAUUUUCAGUUUUUUCUGGGUGGUUCUGUUUUU
rnacentral:lncRNA from 1 species